UCGGCUAUCGAUUACAGUGAAUACUAUUCUGAAUACAUUCUGCACACUCCGUUGAGAUGGAGGCGUCCAUGGGUUGUGGUGAUGCUUUCGCAAUAUGUAUUCUCCUACUCAAAUGACAAACUCAGCACACGGAAAUCGAAGUGGCAUUAGGAACUGACAUAAGUGAAGGCUGUUGGGUGGUUAGGGGUAGCUAAACAAUAUUAAAAUUAUUUCUAUUCGCAAAACAAAGUCAAAUCUUAGUCAUAGGGCUCGGAUAGCAUCUGCUAAAUAAAUUCCAAGCUGGCCUUUAAGCACAAGGAUAAUUGAAAAUAUCGCUUAGACAUGGUGGAUUCAAUUUAUGCGUGCUUUCCAAAGUUGAAACUCCUUCAGCAAUCUCUUUUCGCAACCGAGAGUGAAAAUUAGCCAUAAGCCGAAACAAUGCGACAAUCACCGAACGGAUGGAGGGAAAAGUCUAAUUGGUUUGGCCGAGCCAGGAAAAU